rnacentral:rRNA from 1 species
AGGAGUUAGACAGAAGGGGUACAGCUCUUCUGAAUAAAGAAACAACUUUAGUAGGUGAACCAGGAUCAUACCAAUCAAGGACUAAAAUUUAAGUGGGCCUAAAAGCAGCCACCUUUAAAGAAAGCGUUAAAGCUCCAACUAUCUAAUGCAUCCUUUUAUACUGAUAUAUCUCUUCUCCCCCCCUACUAUUUAAUAGGCUGUCUUAUGCCCCCAUAAGAAUAAUUAUGCUAAAAUGAGUAAUAAGAAGAAAAUUCUUCUCCCAGCAUAAGUGUAAGUCAGACCGGACCAUCCGCCGAUUAUUACACGACCCCAAACUCAGAGGGACCUAAGUUAAAAAACAACAAGAAAAACACUUAACUAAUAUCGUUAACCCUACACAGGAAUGCACUAAGGAAAGACUAAAAGGAAAGAAAGGAACUCGGCAAACUCAAGCCUCGCCUGUUUACCAAAAACAUCGCCUCUUGACCCACACCGCAUAAGAGGUCUCGCCUGCCCAGUGACUAAAUGUUAAACGGCCGUGGUAUCUUAACCAUGCGAAGGUAGCGUAAUCAUUUGUCUUUUAAAUGAAGACCUGUAUGAAUGGCAAAACGAGGGCUUAACUGUCUCCCUUCCCCAGUCAAUGAAAUUGACCUCCCCGUGCAGAGGCGGGGAUAUAACUAUAAGACGAGAAGACCCUGUGGAGCUUUAGACUUAAAAUAACCCUGUAAAACGAGCUCUAAUACAAGCAUAAACUUAGUAAAACUUAUUUAAAUGUCUUUGGUUGGGGUGACCACGGGGUAAAACAUAACCCCCACGAAGAUUGGGGAUAUUUCCCUAACACUAAGAGACACCCCUCUAAGUAACAAAAUUUUUGACUUUAAAAAUGAUCCGGUAUGACCGAUUAACGAACUCAGUUACCCCAGGGAUAACAGCGCAAUCCCCUCCCAGAGCCCUUAUCGACGAGGGGGUUUACGACCUCGAUGUUGGAUCAGGACAUCCUAAUGGUGCAGCCGCUA